rnacentral:rRNA from 1 species
CCUACGGGAGGCAGCAGUGGGGAAUAUUGCACAAUGGGGGAAAGCCUGAUGCAGCAACGCCGCGUGAGUGAAGAAGUAUUUCGGUAUGUAAAGCUCUAUCAGCAGGGAAGAAGAUGACGGUACCUGAUUACGAAGCCCCGGCUAACUACGUGCCAGCAGCCGCGGUCAUCCGUAGGGGGCAAGCGGUAUUCGGAUUUACGGGGUGUAAAGGGGGCGCAGACGGCAGCGCAAGUCUGGAGUGAAAGCCCGGGGCCCAACCCCGGAACUGCUCUGGAAACUGUGCGGCUAGAGUACUGGAGGGGCAGGCGGAAUUCCUGGUGUAGCGGUGAAAUGCGUAGAUAUUAGGAGGAACACCAGUGGCGAAGGCGGCCUGCUGGACAGUAACUGACGUUGAGGCUCGAAAGCGUGGGGAGCAAACAGGAUUAGAUACCCCAGUAGUC